rnacentral:rRNA from 1 species
UACGUAGGGUGCAAGCGUUGUCCGGAAUUAUUGGGCGUAAAGAGCUCGUAGGCGGCUUGUCGCGUCGACUGUGAAAUCCCGCGGCUCAACUGCGGGUCUGCAGUCGAUACGGGCAGGCUAGAGUUCGGUAGGGGGAGACUGGAAUUCCUGGUGUAGCGGGUGGAAAAUGCGCAGAUAUCAAGGAGGAACACCGGUGGCGAAGGCGGGGUCUCUG